UACGAAGGGUGCAAACGUUGCUCGGAAUCAUUGAGCGUAAAGCGCACGUAGGCGGCUUGCCAAGUCGGACGUGAAAUCCCUCAGCUCAACUGAGGACGUGCAUCCGAAACUGGCGAGCUUGAGUACUGAAGAGGAUCGCGGAAUUCCCGGUGUAGAGGUGAAAUGCGUAGAUAUCGGGAGGAACACCAGUGGCGAAGGCGGCUUCCUGGCCUGUUCUUGACGCUGAGGCGCGAAAGCUAGGGGAGCAAACGGG
rnacentral:rRNA from 1 species